AUAUGGAAUAUUAACCUUGGCAUUGAUCUCCAUGUGUUGUGUUUACGUGGGGGCCUAGUGUGGUCAACACUUAACAGAUGGCACCACAAUAUAUGCUGAUGCGCAGAAUUGAGAAGGUUCCAAUGAGUUUCGAGCAACGCAAAUUAAUUUUGAAGAGGUAAUAUAAAUUCGAGAAUGUGCUUGAAGUGAAAAUUUAAAUUUGAAUUUAAAACGACUCUACCAACACGAGUAACAAUUAUAAGAAAUCGAGACAAAUGUGAGACGUUCGAUACUUGUACAACAUGCGUAAGCAACUACUAUAAGGUAGACCGCGCACAUCAACGAGUGAGGACACUUCUGCUAUGGUAUUACAGCAGUUCGCACGAUCGCUGAAGGAAUCUUUAAGGCGAUGAGAUCGAGAUUUCCAACUCAAGUGCACAACGGAUUCUCGAAACAUGCAUAAGUGGAAAAACAACGCACCAAGGUUAUUGCGUGCAAUGGCUGAAAACGAUCCUGGCCGCAGAUUUGAGUUUUUGAGAAUGGAUUCAGAAGGAGGUGGGUGAGAAUGGACAGUUUCUGGCACUGAUGAGGCGACAUUUAAGCUGAAUUCCCAACCAACAACAGUUCAAGAGCUCUGGCAAGAAAUUGAACAGUCUUGCGCAUGCGCCGGAGCAGAAGCUGUGGUGUCCACUUGUCAGUCAGUUGUUCACCGCUGUCAACUGCGCCACGAAGCUAACGGUGGCAAUUUUGAGCACCUGCACUAGAUUCGCCAAUUCACUAAGCGCCAAUGCUGACAUGAUGAAGGCUUCUUUUUCUUAUUUCACGAUGCUGAGUCAGCUCAACGGGUCUUAAUGAGUCUACAUCCGCCAGUAACUAGGCCUGGGAUCUGUGCAACCAUCAAGCAGAAUAUUUACUGCAAAUAAGAGAACAAAAAACUUUUCCACGUAAUCAGUUACUUUGGCAGAAUUUUAAUAUGUAAUAUCACGUUAAAUGUCACUGUAAUACUGUAAAGAAACGACUGUCAUUGUAUAGUUAAUACUUUAUUUAGUAUAUGUUUUAGGGUUACAUAUUUUAUGUAGACGCAAAAUAUACGCGAGCUUCAGCCACGUCACUGAAUGAGGGGAAGGAAAAUGUAAAUCCACAGAAUUUUCAAAACGCUGACAACACACCAAUGUAUUUUGUGGACUUCACACGCGUUUUUCUGAAACUGUCAUCCAACCUCGGAAUUAUUUUGCCGCCAUUAUAACUGCAAAAUAAACACAAUCACCAGGAAUUUAUUUCAAAUUCACGAAAAAUUUAUUGUAAACUGGAUUACAUAUCCCACGAUUUACGAUUCUUUAAAUUAAUUAUAUAAUUUAUUGCGUCGUUAAUUUGUUUAGAACCGUUGUUAUGUUUUGAAAUUACGAUGCCUACAUUUUAGUUAGAACAUGACUUUCCAAAAUAUUCACAUUCAAUAAAAAAUUUAAAAAAAAAAAUGGAAUAUUAAAACAAAACGUUUAAUUAUACAUCCCUUUAAUGGAAGUCAUUUUUGUUUUUUUAACAAGUAACUCUGCUGUACGAUCACUGACUAUAAUGCAUUCUGUGCAAUUCUGCAUGAAACACAUUAAAACUCUGUAUCAUCACUGAAAAACAAAAUUCUGAACUAUUGAUCGUAAUUUAAAUAAAAGAAUCUUAAACAGCUGUUUCUAUUAUUCUGUAUAGUUAACCUCCCCAAAAUUACUCGGAGGGUCUUUCCAUGUGUUUCCGGAUACAGUUAAUCGUAGGAAUCGAUUCCAAAGAUUCUGAACCCGUUUUUAUGUACAGAGGGACCUAGAUGAUAAAUUGACACCGAUAUUUGGGAUUAUGUCCAUGUCGAGACUUAUUUUUGGCUAUGAAGAACACAUACGAACACACAUGCACUAAGAGGGAGUCGAACUCUAGAUCCCAAGGUUUUGUCGGCACAGAAACGAGCGUCUACGGCCCUGGUAAUAGCUGGACGACAUUUAAAAAUGUUUGCGAAAAACAAUGGUUUUGAUAAAUUUGUCGCAUCGAUUAAAAUGAAAUUAACCAGAUUUUGUGAGAUAAUUAAGAUAACUGUCUUUAGGUAUGUUAUGUUUUUAUGCGUCUGGUAGAAGUUUACCAACGUUUCAGAGGUCCUUGUUGCCUCAAUCAUCAGGGCGAUAACAUUUAAUGGUAACCAACCGAGCAGUUUCGAAGUUAAAAUUCAGAAAUUCUUGUAGUAAAUUAUGAGUUCAUUUUAAGACUUUUGUGUAAAGCGUCCAUUAUAUCUAAAUCAUAUUUCCAUUUAAUACCGAAAUAAAACAUGCAGUAAACUUUCA